GAUGAACGCUGGCGGCGUGCUUAACACAUGCAAGUCGAACGGAAAGGCCCAAGCUUGCUUGAGUACUCGAGUGGCGAACGGGUGAGUAACACGUGGGUGAUCUGCCCUGCACUUCGGGAUAAGCCUGGGAAACUGGGUCUAAUACCGGAUAGGACCACAUUUUGGAUGGUGUGGUGGAAAGUUUUUCGGUGUGGGAUGAGCUCGCGGCCUAUCAGCUUGUUGGUGGGGUAAUGGCCUACCAAGGCGUCGACGGGUAGCCGGCCUGAGAGGGUGUACGGCCACAUUGGGACUGAGAUACGGCCCAGACUCCUACGGGAGGCAGCAGUGGGGAAUAUUGCACAAUGGGCGCAAGCCUGAUGCAGCGACGCCGCGUGGGGGAUGACGGCCUUCGGGUUGUAAACUCCUUUCGCUAGGGACGAAGCGUUAUGUGACGGUACCUGGAGAAGAAGCACCGGCUAACUACGUG
rnacentral:rRNA from 1 species